rnacentral:lncRNA from 1 species
AUAUAAAUAAUUUGGGAAAAUCAAAUUUGAUUUUUAUUGAUUACUAUAUAUGAUACAAACGAUGUUUACAAUAAUUUAAUCCUUUGAGCGUGUAUUCUUGACAGAAGAAGUUGGUUAGGUACAUAUUUACAGAGUGUAUAAAUAAGAAUCGAUCAAAGUAAAUCGACGCAGUUACUUUCACAUUGAGUGGAUUUAAUAUUUUGCGGGAAGGUAACAUCAAAAUGGGGACACAGCUAUUAAUUAUUGAGACAGUGAUACAGUGUAAUGCAAUCCCAUAAAUAAUAAGGAGACCGAGUGCUAUGUACCAGAGACAUUUGAAACGGAUUUUCUCUCAUAAAUCGAUUUAAUUCCGCCGGGCAAAUGCGAUUUUAUUGCAACGAAAUAUAUAACGCAUUAUUAACAAACGUCAUCGAUUAAUUGGAUAAAAAGAUUACAUUCAAAGUUAAAAAUAAAUUUCAAGUUAAAUUUUAUCUUCUCGAAAGAAAAGCAUGGAGUUGCAACACAUUGGAAGAAAAGAAGAAAGUUUAGAGAACCACGAAACGCAAUAGAAACUAAACGUAAUUGAAUGUCAUGUUUCAUAUCUAUCUUUUCUCGAGAAGAAAUAGCAGCUUUGCAUCGUGGAUCUCUGAAUUCCCGACAUUUUCCAAGAAUCCUUGACUGGAAAUCACGGCAUUCAACCUUCCAUGGUGUUUACUCAACCAGUGCCUCGUGGAACACACGUUAUAUGCAUGAGACUGAUAUGAGUUUCAGAAAGGAAAGUGCAACUAUAUCGACGAGGCGUCGAAAGGAAAUGCUUGCUGUAAUGUAAACUCCUUCAGGCCUUUGCGAUCGAAAAUUUACAAUCGAAAGUCCAUAUAUUUCAGAAAUAGAAUGUUUUCUAUUUUUAAUUCAUCAUACACUUGCACAUUUGAACAAUAUGAAACAAAAUAAUACGUGAAGAGCUCAAAGUUCACUUCUAUUUUCAAAAAUUGGUGAGCAACAAGUGACCAAUAGUAUACUUUCAGUAAUAUCAACAUUAACAUCACUUUUUUUUUCUGCAGAAAAUUUAUAUUUUUGUUGCAAUCUAUAAUUGUUGUAUCUACGAUUGAACAUAAGAAAAUUUCUCAUAAAUAGUAUCAUGUACGGAUUAAAAAGACAGAUUAAAAAAUUAAAUAAAACAUUGCAAAAAAAUAUCAAGGUUUAAUCUAUAGCAAUUGCAAUAUUAACGUUAAAAAUAGAAUGUUUUGUUGCAGAAUAUUGUGAAAGAUUAUAUGCUUGAUCGAUCUCCUGGAGAAAAGUAAUUUUUUAAAACACAUUAAACUUGUUCCCUUCUUCGCGAGCAGUAUUCUCGACAACAUGAAACUUCGACCCCACUUAAGAUCGUGUUUGCGUCGUUCAAAUCGAAUUUGCGAGCAUUUGACAAAUGGUCCAGGCUUGCUUCUGGCAGUUUUCUAAUCUCCUCAGCCUUCGAUCUUAAUUCACCUUGCUUUCUUGGUACACGCUGAGAAAAAUCCAUCUUCUGAGAUAUUCUUGGUCGCUAUUGCAACAUCUAAAGAACAACAGCGGUUUAAAACAAUUCUUCCCGUCAAUUCCAUCCUAUAAAUUCAUUUUUAUUUCUCUUACCUGGCAUUUAUUGCUCCCUACAUAUUCAUUUGAAUGUUCAUAGCCCAUUUGUGGAAAUGAACAGGCGACUAUUUGGCACGCAAACGCUUUACACGUAGCAACAGAUGUUGACCUAUUAUCGUGUAAUCUUUUACAUAUUUAAAUGCAAAUUACAUUUUAUAUUUACAAAUAGACGUACCAGGUGUCCACAAUUUUGAUGUAAAUUAUAUUAUUAAUAAUUUACAAGAUAUUUUUCUUGUCAAAUUUAUAAAUUUAUAUCCCGUU